UCCUAUUUUGUCCAGAUGUCCAUUGUAAAGCAGCAAUUGUCUUGCUUAAAGUUGGUUUUGUUCUAACUCUAAGUUGGAUUUUUUCUUAUUUUUCAGCACUAUGAAAACUGUCAUUAAAACCUACUCCAGCAAGAAACCUGUGCAACCAAUUGAAGUGAAAGACGAUCCUUUUGAUGUAUUGCGGGAUGCACCUAAGCCUAGCCCUUCCUCGCCAGUCUCUGUUUUUGACGCCCUGUUGGCUACCUCCAAGUCGAGCCCUUCACCUUCAGAUAAUUCAAACAAAGAUGAUUCUCUAUUGGCUUUACCAGAUGAGUCACUAUGUCAGAGAUUCCUGCAAGAGGUCAGCUUUUCUUCAGCUGGAUCACUUGAGCGUAUCAACUCGGAAAUAGAGCUUACAAAAAGUAGUGGUGAUGCAUACAAACUCACAACUUCGAGUGAUGACCCUGGCUCUCAAAAUGCUAAGAAGAAAAAAAAGAAGAAAAGAAAAAAUCAAACCAAAAAUCAAGUGAUCAGGAAAAGGGAACCUCCUACCUCAAAAGUGAAAAUGAGUUCUUUUCAACAUCAGUUGAAUCAAAUACCGUACUUUCCUCAAGAGAAGAAGACAAAGAAAAUGACCACGUAGGCUCAACUAAAAGAGGCAAGAAAAAGAGACAGACAAAAAAAAUGAGAAUGAGAAAUGUGAAAAUGAGGCAAAAGCUUCAUCUGAUGAGCGCUGCGAAAUUCCUAUAGUGGUCAAACCCCCUACCCCCUCAGUAAAUGUUCCAACUAAGAGAUUACGUCAGCCUACAUCAGAUAAAAAUCUUCUGCAGCCUAGCGCAGCUUUGAAAACAGCAAAACGUCCUUCAAAGAAAUCUUCAACCGGGAAAGUUCUAGAUUUAUCAAAUUCUGAAAAUGAGUUAAAUACAUCAACCUGCACCAGUUUGAAAGAUACCUCUAAACUAAAUGAAAGUCAGGCCUGUCAACGGAACGACUUAUUUUUCAAGAAUGUUACAACAAGGAGAUGCGGCAGGAAGAAAUCAAUUAAGGAUUGUAACCUGGUGAAACACGUUCUAU
rnacentral:lncRNA from 1 species